UACGGGGGGGGGCAAGCGUUGUUCGGAAUUACUGGGCGUAAAGGGUUCGUAGGUGGCCUGCUAAGUCGGACGUGAAAUCCCUCGGCUCAACCGGGGAACUGCGUCCGAUACUGGUGGGCUCGAGUGCAGGAGAGGAACGCGGAAUUCCAGGUGUAGCGGUGAAAUGCGUAGAUAUCGGGAGGAACACCUGUGGCGAAAGCGGCGCACUGGACCAUAACUGACGCUGAGGCGCGAAAGCUAGGGGAGCAAACAGG
rnacentral:rRNA from 1 species